AUUGAACGCUGGCGGCAGGCCUAACACAUGCAAGUCGAACGAGUGGCGGACGGGUGAGUAAUGUCUGGGAAACUGCCUGAUAGAGGGGGAUAACUACUGGAAACGGUGGCUAAUACCGCAUACCAUCGGAUGUACCCAUAUGGGAUUAGCUAGUUGGUGGGGUAACGGCUCACCAAGGCGACGAUCCCUAGCUGGUCUGAGCGGAGGAACAGGCACAGUGGAACUGAGACACGGUCCAGACUCCUACGGGAGGCAGCAGUGGGGAAUAUUGCACAAUGGGCGCAAGCCUGAUGCAGCCAUGCCGCGUGUAUGAAGAAGGCCUUCGGGUUGUAAAGUACUUUCAGCGGGGAGGCGUUACCCGCAGAAGAAGCACCGGCUAACUCCGUGCCAGCAGCCGCGGUAAUAC
rnacentral:rRNA from 1 species